CUGCUUCAGAGCUCUUCUCAGUAUUGUGACCCAGACAGCGGCUACCCAUCAACCAGACUGCCACACAGGACAGAAAUCUAGAUUAUUACAUAAUCCAUCUUGAGAAUUUAGAAGAAUAAUAUCGCCCUCGUGCCUGGCUUAUAUAGAAAAAGGGACAGCAAGAAGACAGAUAAAGUGGAGCACAGAAAGAAGGAUGAAAUGAAAAUUAUUUGUCUAUUUUA